rnacentral:rRNA from 2 species
AGAGUUUGAUCAUGGCUCAGAACGAACGCUGGCGGCAGGCUUAACACAUGCAAGUCGAACGCACCGCAAGGUGAGUGGCAGACGGGUGAGUAACGCGUGGGAACGUGCCCUUCAGUUCGGGAUAACCCAGGGAAACUUGGGCUAAUACCGGAUACGUGCGAGAGCAGAAAGAUUUAUCGCUGAAGGAUCGGCCCGCGUCUGAUUAGCUAGUUGGUAGGGUAAUGGCCUACCAAGGCGACGAUCAGUAGCUGGUCUGAGAGGAUGAUCAGCCACAUUGGGACUGAGACACGGCCCAAACUCCUACGGGAGGCAGCAGUGGGGAAUAUUGGACAAUGGGCGCAAGCCUGAUCCAGCCAUGCCGCGUGAGUGAUGAAGGCCUUAGGGUUGUAAAGCUCUUUCGGCGGGGACGAUAAUGACGGUACCCGCAGAAGAAGCCCCGGCUAACUUCGUGCCAGCAGCCGCGGUAAUACGAAGGGGGCUAGCGUUGUUCGGAAUCACUGGGCGUAAAGGGCGCGUAGGCGGCCUGAUAAGUCGGGGGUGAAAGCCUGUGGCUCAACCACAGAAUUGCCUUCGAUACUGUCGGGCUUGAGACCGGAAGAGGUCAGUGGAACUGCGAGUGUAGAGGUGAAAUUCGUAGAUAUUCGCAAGAACACCAGUGGCGAAGGCGGCUGACUGGUCCGGUUCUGACGCUGAGGCGCGAAAGCGUGGGGAGCAAACAGGAUUAGAUACCCCAGUAGUCC